rnacentral:rRNA from 1 species
UGCGUAGGUGGGCAGGUAAGUCAGUGGUGAAAUCCCCGAGCUUAACUUGGGAACUGCCGUUGAUACUAUCUGUCUUGAAUAUCGUGGAGGUUAGCGGAAUAUGUCAUGUAGCGGUGAAAUGCAUAGAGAUGACAUAGAACACCAAUUGCGAAGGCAGCUGGCUACACGGUAAUUGACACUGAGGCACGAAAGCGUGGGGAGCAAACA